rnacentral:rRNA from 1 species
GACGAACGCUGGCGGCGUGCCUAAUACAUGCAAGUCGAGCGAACGGACGAGAAGCUUGCUUCUCUGAUGUUAGCGGCGGAGGGGUGAGUAACACGUGGAUAACCUACUUAUAAGUCUGGGAUAACUACGGGAAACCGUAGCUAAUACCAGAGAAUAUUUUGAACCGCAUGGUUGAAAAGUGAGAGACGGUCUUUCUGUCACUUAUAGAUGGAUCCGCGCUGCAUUAGCUGGUUGGUAAGGUAACGGCUUACCAAGGCAACGAUGCAUAGCCGACCUGGGAGGGGGGUCGGCCACACUGGAGCGGAGACGCGGUCCAGACUCCUACGAGAGGCAGCAGUAGGGAAUAUUCCGCAAUGGGCGGAAGCCUGGCGGAGCAACGCCGCGGGAGUGAUGAAGGUCGCCGGAUCGUAAUGCUCUUCUAUUGGGGGAGAACAUAUGUGGACGUAACUGUGCACAUCUUGACGGUACCUAGUCAGAAAGCCCCGGCUAACUACGUG